rnacentral:rRNA from 1 species
UACGAAGGGGCUAGCGUUGCUCGGAAUACUGGGCGUAAAGCGCACGUAGGCGGAUUGUUAAGUCGGGGGUGAAAUCCUGGAGCUCAACUCCAGAACUGCCUUCGAUACUGGCGAUCUCGAGUUCGGGAGAGGUGAGUGGAACUGCGAGUGUAGAGGUGAAAUUCGUAGAUAUCGCAAGAACACCAGUGGCGAAGGCGGCUCACUGGCCCGGAUACUGACGCUGAGGUG